rnacentral:rRNA from 1 species
UACCAGCUCUUCGAGUGGUGUGGAUGUUUAUUGGGCCUAAAGCAUCCGUAGCUGGCUGGGCAAGUCCCCUGUUAAAUCCACCGAUUUAAUCGUUGGAGUGCGGGGGAUACUGUUCGGCUAGGGGACGGGAGAGGCAGACGGUAUUUUCGGGGUAGGGGUGAAAUCCUAUAAUCCCGGGAAGACCACCAGUGGCGAAGGCUGUCUGCUAGAACGCGCCCGACGGUGAGGGAUGAAAGCUGGGGGAGCGAACCGGAUUAGAUACCCGGGUAGUCCCAGCUGUAAACGAUGCAGGCUAGGUGUUUGGGCGGCCACGUGCCGCUCUAGUGCCGCAGGGAAGCCGUUAAGCCUGCCGCCUGGGGAUACGGCCGCAAGGCUGAAACUUAAAGGAAUUGGCGGGGGAGCACCACAAGGGGUGAAGCUUGCGGUUU